rnacentral:lncRNA from 1 species
UAAAACUAUUCUCGUGAGGUCAGUGCUCAAGUCGAUAUACAGUUUAGGACUUAUGUAAGAUAUAAGAUAAUCCAUCCUUUUAGGAUGGGCUGACGGUUCCGUACUCCCUUCACUCUUUUAGUUUAGGGUGGGGGAGACUAGCCAGCUUCGGGAAAAGAAAGAACUGCUUAUGAUCUUUCUGUAUAGAGUCCCAGCCGCUCCUCCUUACACAUUGGAAUCAGGUUCUGGGAUAAUUGAUCCGUAGAGUGCAGGAGCGAGAUUUUUUGGCCAGAUAAAAGUGGAUACGGCUGUUGUCAGACCGUCGACAAUCCAGUCCAAGAUGAAGAAGCGAAAGAGGGAACAUAAACUAGUCAGAAAAAGCAAAAUGAAGAUACAAAGAAUCGAAGAUUGAAGAGAUUAGUUGAGAACAGUAAAAAGAUGCUGGGCCACAGGAAUAGAAAACUCAGAAGACCUAAAAAUCAUCACUCUGCUGCAGAAAAGAAAGGGUGAGCGCGUUUGGAUCAGCGAAGGCAAUCGCUCGGAGAAAAGGCGUGACUGGCACGAUUGAACUCUCACUUAAGAGGGAAAAGUGAUUGCCCGACGCAUCACAGCCGGAAGCAGGGCAUUCCAUCGAUUUGACUUAGAGAGAAUUUCCCCUGUAGAAAAAGAGCUUCUUUCCAGGAUGCUUUCUUUAAAUUAAAGGACCCGGGUCCAUGAAUCUAUGAAUGGUGAGAAUUCUUGAUCUCUCAAUUCGAAAAUUCAGGAUUUGAAUUAAUGUCUUUCAUCGAUUCCUCCUAAAUUUAAACUCUCGUUGGCCAGCCGAAAACAUGUGUUUUGUUUAGUCAUAUGAAUUGGGAAGGAGAUUUUCUGGUCUGUGGUUGAAGCUCCCCAUCUUUUGACAUCGUCAUUUCACGUGAGAAGUGGGCUCUCCUUCGGUAUCUCGACAACGCUGCGAUAGAUUUAUUUUAAGAUUCUAUAGAAUCUUUUUCUGUGGAAUCUCUUUCUCCGAAUCGGUUCCUAGUGUCAGUCAAUCAAUUCUAUCUAAUGCAAGACCCAUCGAUAAGCUAAGGCUACGACAUUAAGAAAGGCCAGAAAAACUACAGAACCACGCCCACCAGCCCGGAUGCUUGGUUUAAGAACGGAAAUGAGGUGCUAGUCUCCGUUGAUCACUUUCUUCAUUGGAAUCAACUGAUUUUCUCACUCUUUCUAGGGUCCGGCAACCCUAUGAAAUGUGUUUUCUAAGCACUUCAUGUUCUGGUGAAAUAUCUGAGCUUCAGCUGUGAUUGAAUCCGCUCUGCCACUUUCUUUUUUUGAACUAGUACCAAAAUGAAAAUCGAAUUAUUGAACCAAACAGCAAACGUAUCAUGGCGUUUCAGUUUGGUUUUCCAGUUCGAACCAAUCAGUGCACAGCCUUAAUAGUAGGAGCUGUAACUGUUAUUAAAAUGUCCCAAACCUUACUCUGCAGGCGCUCAUAGGAAAAAUUGGAAACUAUAAGGUGGUGGCUAGUAAAAGAGCCCCCCCCCUGUUCCUGUAUUUAAUCGAUGUCGGAUAUGCCAGGAUACAUCAACAUUUCUGAAGGCAAUGGUAGACCAUUAUCAUUUAUAACUGACCCGAUAACACCAUUGAUGUGUUUUGUUUCUCAUGGUCCUAUUCUGUGACCUGCCUUAAUGGUGGGCAUGACCUCAAAUUGUCUGCAUGGGAGGGAGUUGGAUGACACAACUUCCGCAAGAUGUUUGAAGGCAUCACUAUGGUUUAGCUGCCAUUUUUUUCUUUUCUUUCUAGACUGGCCACCAUGGUCGUUGUUAAAACUGUCUACCAAUGAUAUCUGCUGGCUGGCUGCUCACUUGAGAUGCUAAUUUUAUCAGCACUGUGCAGAGACCAUCCGACUUAGAAAAAGCCAUUUGCAGCAUGGUUUCCAUACGCAACGGUGUGGUGCUAGCUUGAGGAAUUGAUUAAUUUGGAUCACAUGGUUGAUCAAUAUAGCAUGGUUUCCAUAUUGCGUGGAGCUUUGCAGAACCACCUCAAGCAGGUAAUCAAUAUUUCUUUCUUUCUUUUUCUCUUUUAAAUAAAUGAUUUACUUAUUAGUAGAAAGUCAAGGUAGCAGAGAGGUGUGAAAUGGUUGCUACCCAAACAAGGACAAAGAUGGCAAAUAAAACCUUAUACGGAUAGAGAAGUGCAGGCAUAUAUCAGAGCACCGCCUCGUAAAAAAGAAACUUGUGAAUCUUUUGAUCAUCAAAGAAAGAGAACCAAAUUUAGCAGAAACUCCUUACUGUUUAGGAUAUGAUUUUGUAAGCGCUGUUUUGUCUGUACUGCAUUGGUAUUCAAUCAUUUAUGUUGUGUCCAGGUGAAGAGUGACUCUGAAGAUUCAUUAUCCGCUGCUACCUGUUAAGAAGCUUUUGGAACGGUUGAAGUAAUGGUGAAUAGAGCAUAGGAAACGUAAGGAUCUUUGAACAGAUUAUGAGCUGCAUAAUCAGUAGUAAAAUCAUGGCAUGUACCGGUAAACCCGAAAUUCUGGGCACAAUAUAUUUAUCGAUUUGCUUGGCCACUGGCUGGAUUGUGUUUGGGGAAGAGAUGGAUGCUUUUAUCUGCACAUGCAUAUACAUACCACUUCGCUGGCCAGUUCUGUAAGCCGUUGAGAAAAUAGAGUUGAUGAGAUUUAGUUUGUCAGAGCCUUGACACUUUGUGGGGUAUUUUGGGAUUUGUCUUUUCCAUUAUGUUGUGAUUCGCAACUCCGGUUUUGCUUCUAUGUUAAAUUGAAUUCAAUCACUUAUUGGUACAUGUAAACUGGAACAGGUUCCUGGAUUUUGUUUGUCCUGCCAUUUUUCUUUUCUUCAUGGUUAUAUAUAUUUUUCUGCUUUUAUUCGUGGGGACUGUAAAAAUCACGAGCUUCCAAAAAAAAAUAAAAAAAUUUAAGUUUACCUUAUUGAUCUCAGUAACUUUUUUUUGAAAAAAUUGAUUUCGUGGGCUAGAACUUGUAAGUUUCUUCUCUUUGUGGAAUGAUAAUGAGACCGUAUGCGUCUCUUAAAGGGUACGGGUAUCGCUAAUAAUGUUUUUUAAUAAUAUUUAUAUUAAUCAAAAGAUCUAUUUCUCUAUUAAAAAAAUUAAUAUGAAAAGAUAAAAAAAAUCUGUUAUACAAGUUUAAUAUAUUUUUUUUACUUUUAAUGGUAAUAUAUAAUCUUUAUCAGGGGUGUAAUCAUAGAUUUAGUAUCGGGAAGGUAUAUGAUUUUUGGGAGUUUGGGAGAAUGUAGCAUGUGUGUCCUUUUGUUAGCAAAAUAGGAAAUCAAUUUACUUUCUUCUCGUGAGUGUAUAUGUUACUAAGAUUUGUUAGUUGUGGGCAAUCAUCAAAUCGCAAGCUCCAGUCCGUUUGUCCAAUUGGAAAGGAAGAUCCUGAAACGUUAGAACGAGGGGAUAAGAAGAAGAUUAGGUGCGUUCUUUUUUGGCGUGAGUGGGAAGCAUAUUCUGUACGCACAAAUAAUUCUUGCAAAAUUAGUGUGUUUUGACACAGACGUGGUGGUGGCAGGGCAGCGGAGGGUCGAGGUGGUGGUCAGUUUAAUAAAGGGUGACGUUGGUCCCUGUGGUGGUGUGGUGUGGUGUGGUGCGUCAUCCAUUAAUGACUGUUUUCCAUUGCUCAGGAGGAAUUGAUGCUCUCUUUCUCUCUACGCACGAAAACAAAAACGAAAACAAAAAUAAAAAGGAUAAGGGAAGGGAAAAGGUUAAGUUCGUUCUGUUCGGUUUGGUGUGGUGAAAAAAAGAAAGGAAGAAACUUAUGUUUCUAAAACACGCAAGCAAACCUUUUUUAAUAUUUUAUUUUAAGCAUACUUCAAACACCAUCUCAAAAGACCAUGUUUAGAACCGAAACGACACCAUAUGUGUAAUCAUAAAAAAAACAAGUUAAAAAAACUUUAUUAUACAAGUUUAAUAUUUUUUUUCUUUUAAAGGUAAUAUAUAAUCUUUAUAAGUGAUGUAAUCAUAAAUUUAGUAUCGGGGUUGGCACUUGGAAGGUAUAUGAUUUUUGGGAGUUUGGGAGAAUCUAGCAUGUGUGUCCUUUUGAACUUCCACAUGCAGGUUUGGACAUCAAGACUGUAUAAAAAUCUCUAAGAGCUCUCGCCAUUGUAAUAAUUUGAAUGAGUAGACUAAUAUGAUGCCGCCAUUGAGUGAGAAUGACGAGUGCAUGGUCGCUCGCCAUAACAGAGACCUCUUUCCUGUUGGGGAUUCCGACCGGUGAUGAAUUGAUAAUUGCUCGUCGAAGAAGAAGCACAUAGACACAAUAUUUUAUGUGGUUCGGCAAAACCAUCUACAUUCAUGGGAGAGGUCUAUUGUAUUUAGAGAUAGAAAAAGGAUUACAAUAAAUACAUGGAGGAGGAUCACAUCCACUCAACUGCUAGCUCACACACCCUGCUGCAUAUGGCAUCAGGGCUGCUGCCCAUGGCAGCAGCUUCUCUUUAUCUUUUCACUCUUUCUCUCACGUUAUCUCUUCUCACCAUUUAGCUCUCAAAAGAUGGUGCCUAUAUAUAGCAGGAUGGUGCCACCAGCUCCAACCUUUUUUUCAACAAAGGUGGAUGGUUAAAGUCAAUGUUAGGUUGCUGCACAUUAAAUGACAACACACCUAACAAUCACCCCCUUUGACAUUUAUAUGGGCAAUUGUCCUCUUGCUUCUUCAGCACAAUCUUGCAUCCUGCAGCUCUUCCAAGCUUACCAUUCCGAGAGCGUCUCCGACCAAGUUUACAGGUACUCGCCAAACCUUUCAAUCACCAGAGUCACCAAAGCACACCCUUGCUUACACCAAAGAAUCACUUCAACCAGAUGGUCUCACACAUCACAUCUGAAGAGUGUUAACGCUUGCCUCUGGGAACAUUCCCCUUCGAGCGUAUCAACCAUGCUCGGUCCGGAAUGAUUUAUCAAGCCUCACACUAAGGCUUACAGCACCCCCUCAAACAGAUAUUUCCAAGUGCGACAGUCAUUAUCUGAGUAUCUCAAUAUGAUCACGAGCUCACCACUCUUCCAAGAGUCUACUCAUCCAGGAGUUGCGCCUGCCCUCUGUUCCACCCUAGGAACCACACCUUACUUCUCCGUGAGUCUCUCGCUCUUAGUCGUAAGAGUCCAGGUAGCUCUCCACCUUUAACCAUGGGGGCAGCCCAUUAAAGGUUGAUCCAUAUCUAUCUCCAUACUCUGAGUAUUACAAUGCCAUUACCGAGCUCACCACCUUGAAAAGAGUCAACUCGUUCCCGAAACCUGCACAUGCCCUCUGCUCCUUCAUAGCAGCCGCGUCUUAAUGCUCCACAAGUCAUCCACUUAUUGUCCAAGGCAAAUGUCUUCUAGCUCAUUGAUCUUUAGCAUGGGGGCAAUAUCCAUGAAAGUCAAUCCUGCAUUUGUCUUCAUACUCAUCAUAGCCACUUCAUUGGCUAUACACAUGUCCACUCAUAUCUAGCCAUCACAUUGGCUCUGGGGCGUUCUGAAUUGGGCUCAUAUCUUGGCCCACACACCUUCUCCUCGGGUGUCUCCGCUCGUCGUCAUGCGGCGGUCUGAAAUGGGGCUCCUAUCACGGCCCUCACACCUUCUGUCUAAGGUGUCUCCACUCGUCGUGGAGCGGUCUCAUCCUUCUUCAUCUGGGAUGACUCCAGUGGCUCCAAGAUUCUCUACCACCAUGUGGACUUGGGAGAGAUUACUGCCACUGAUAACAUAGAAAGAGAAACUUGCGGUAUACUCGCAAUCCUCCACCUCGAUUUCUAUGUUUGGAGCUUCUACACAUUUUUGCUUGACAGCUCCACCUACACCAACUCUCUUUGGUGUCUUCGCCUUUCAUAGGCGGUCGCCUUUUAUCACAGGCGUUCGCACCCUCUUAAUUAGGUGCCUCUGCAACAGCUCAUCCUUCCAUCCUUGCAUGCAUUGGAAAGGUCCUUGUUUGUUGUCUUCAUCAAGAGCACAAGAGACUUCCUGUUGUACACAGUCUCUGCUCUGAGCUUCAUCUGGGAACUCUUCUUCUCCUUCACAUAUUGUCUCCUUACAGUACCUCGUUGGAUCCUUCGGGUACUCCUGCACAAUCUCUGUAUGCCCUCUUGCAAUAUCUGUUCUCCAGAUUUCUCCCUAUUCGUUGCUUAUGUUUGACAGCAGCUCAUCCCGUCACAACACCUAUCCAAGUCAAAAUAGGGUGUCAAUCUUCAUUCCCUUACUGUAUUUCUCUUCCAUUAUCAGGGUCUUCAUCAAUUCUCCCCUCGAGAAAUCACAGUCACCGAAUCUAGCUUCUUUGGAGAAAUCACCACUCCAUCAGAUCCUUGAUCAUGCGGAACCCAACUGUUCCCCUUGUGCCGUCAUCCUGCUAGUCUUCAACAGUUUCAUUACAAACUGUUACAUAUACGAAAAUAGUACCGUAUGGAUAAUCCUUCCACUUAGCAAGUUCCCAGGAAAGAUUGGAGGGGUCACAACGGUCCCGCUUAAAACCCAAUCUCCUAGACAGAACUUCUUAGGCCAUAUAUAUCCAUCGUACUGUCUUUCUGUAUAUACAACCAUUUGCUAGCUUUGUUGCGGCUUUCCUUUACAAGUGAUCUGGAAUAUACUGGUUUAAUACCUGAUUUCUCAUCAUCUAGUGAGACUACCAGUGCUUAGAUUCGUUAAGAUUGGUCUUCGUCAGUUUUUACUCUCCACCUCAAUUCGUCCACAUGACUGGGUGUCAAGAGUGUCCCAAUUUUGCCUUCCAUCAAGGCAAUUAAAUUCGCCACUUAACAGUUCAGCACAUGUAAUUGGGUAAACAUGUGCACCUUCUUCUUCUACAUCUCCAUCGACCUCCAUCAAGACCCUCAGAUGCCUCCUGAUCGGGCAAUCUCUCUUUAAUAAUUCACCACUUCCAUUUUUUGUCUCGAAUCUCAACGAUCGGACCGUACCAUUGCAUCCGGAAUGAUCAAAUUAGCUGGAAACAUGUCUUGAAUCGUCCAAAUCGCACUUCAGACGGCUAAGAUUUGAUCAAAACAAUUAUGGCCUGAUCAACGGCUCAGAUUCAAUCUCAGAUCUGGUUGCACGUAGACUCUGCUACACAAAAUCCUUUCCCUCGGCUCGGCUCACUCAGCUAAUGACAUGGCAUGUGGGGCCCACUUUGCUGACGUGUCUAUGACAGGUGCUGACAUGGCAUGCUGACUGUGUAUGAUGCCGCCAUCAUUGCGUCAUGCUGAUGCCAUCCUCCUCGUCGGAGCGUGACGGAGCGUGUGACCUUGUCUGAUGUCGACGCGGUUUUCAACAGUGGGUCAGCCAAGUGGGUCGGGUCGUCUGGUAUUCGGGUCGGGUCGACCCAUCCGGGCGAAGAAGACGCGUGUGACGCGUGGCGCGCGUCUGCGCGCGUGGCCAGCCUCCUCGUCGGAGCGUGACGGAGCGUGUGACCUUGUCCGAUGUCGACGCGGUUUUCAACAGUGGCUUCGUCUCUUCCUCCUCUACACAGUGGUAUGGUCAAAACACAAUUUUAACAACGUUUAUUUUUUAGCAAAAAUCAAACACCACUUUAAACCAUGUGCUCUGAUACCAGUUGUUCUGCGAGCGAACUCCCUGUUUUGCUUCUUUUACGAAUAUUCUCAUAAAACUCAGAGUCCUUAUAUAUAGCAAAGGGAAAAAAAGAAAAUAAUCUAAUAUAAAUGUGCUCAAACUUCACCUAGGAAGGAAAACGUGCAAAUAUUCUACCCCACCACUAGGAUUAUUGAUUUUUUUAAAGAAUAAAAUGAUAAUUAAAUUAUUAUGGUGAAUAUAAUUUAUAUCCAAAUACACGAUGAAUUCUCCAUUCGCUUGAAGGGUUUUUUUUGUGGUAAUAUAUACACGUGCACACACUUAGUUGCCCAAAUAAUCCGCUUAAUUUUGUUGUUUAGGACAAACGGAAGGCCAGUGGCUCUAACUAAGAUAUGUUAGUUGUGGGCAAUCAUGGAAAUUGCAAGCUCCAGUCCGUUUGUCCAAUUGGAAAGGAAGAUCCUGAAACGUUAGAAUGGGGGGAUAAAAAGAAGAUUAGGUGCGUGCUUUUUUUGGCGUGAGUGGGAAGCAUAGUCUGUACGCACAAAUAAUUCUUGCAAAAUUAUUUUUUAAAAACUGGACAAGUAUAAAAUAAUAGGACAAGUAUAAAAUAAUAAAAAUGACAAGUAUAAAAAAGAUAUAAGAAAAUUUUAUUUUUUAAAAUAAAACAAAAAAUUACAAUUAUAUCAUCUCUACAUGAAUUAAUUGAAACCCACCAUUUCCUUUUAGUAUUUAUAUAAUAUAAAUUCAAAAAACUGAAAAUUAUAAUUUUACAACCACUACAAUAAAACUAAACAGCAAAAUUUACAAUUAUACUAUUUCUAAAAUAAAAUAAAAUAAACACCUUUUGCUUUUACUUUUAGUAUAUGUAGAAUAAUAUCAUUUUCAAUUUGAAAUCCUCACUUUGAUGAUAGUUUUGAAGCCUAGUGCGGCCCAGCGGGUUGAUCCGGAAUCCAUGACUGGAAUCGAACCAGGUUAAAGAAAAAAUAAUAAAAAAAAAAACUCGGUAUGACUCGGCUGGCUGACCUGGCGACCCACUUGACCCGGCAAAACCAAGUCAAAAACUCGAUUGUAACCCGUUGAUUUUUAUUUUUUUUACUAAAACAUUAAUAUUGUUUUGAUUUUUUUAAAAAAAAAAUUGAUCCAAACAACUCGGUGACUGAGUCAAAACUCGAAACCCGAGGAUGCUUCUAAUAGAAGAAAAGAGAAAACAAUUGCUGAAGUCGGCGUUGUUUUUAUAAAUGUCUAUAUAUAUGCUUAAUUGGUCGUUAAGCAACUACACAGCUGCGACAAGCAAAAGCUGCACGGAAACAAAGAUGGUUGCGAUGAGGAAUGGCGCAGGAGCAUCUCAAAGAAAGGUCAUUCCUCACUUCUAAGUUUUCUGUGCUUGUUUGAUAAAUGGAUACUGUAUAGUAAUUGGCUUAUAUUAAUUAGCUGUCAGUGCUGUUAUAAUCAAUGCAUGUCUAACAUAUGUAUUGUUCCUCAACUUUAUUGUCGGCAGGAAGUAAAAUCAAGGGACAGAAAACUAUCCAGGAGCAUCAAAAGGAUAAGAGCUGACAUGGUGGAGAUUAGCAAGGGGCAUAAACGUAUUAAAGAGGGGCAAGAGGAAGUGAGAGAAAGAUUUGAAGAAAUAAGCAAAGAGGCUGCCAAGCUGAAGGAGGAAACUAAUCUAAUCUCCAAGCAGAGCGCUGCGAAUCAAGUCAGGCUUGAUCUUAUGUUUCAGAUUGUCAAAGCAAGAUCGGAGAACGAUACUGCCAUGGACGCCGUGCUGACGCAAACUUUGCGGUUUGUGAUUCUCCAAAUCUUUGCACCCUCCUCCGUUUAGUUUUUAGAAUCUGUUAUCACGAUAUGAUCACUUCUAAAGACUUGAGCUGUAGUAUUAUGCUUCUUCUUCUUCUUUUUCCAGAAUGAUUUGAUUUACUAACGUCUUCGUUUAUUAAAUAUUAUGUUUCAGGGAUCUAAUGGCAAGCAAAAGCAAGCUCCCCGACGAGAAAAAAGAAGAAGAUUCAGCACCUUAACAACCCUGUUUCCUGGCUCCUGCCGCUUGCACUUAUGUUUUGCUUUUCUAGUACGUACGCGGUAUCAUCCCAGCUUUGCUUUCAAGCACUCUUUACUGUAUUGUGAUUAGAGUGAUGUAUAAGUUAUAUUUUUUGUUACCGACCAUGCAAGGAGUUUUUAGAUACAAUCUCUCUAUUUCUCCGUUGAUCCAUAUAAUUGAUGAAAAACGAUUAUGGAUUUUAUUAUUAUUUGUUUCUUUACUUAUUUUUAUUUAGUUUUUAUUUUUAUUUUAAAUCUCCUUUAUAGCUUUUUUUCCUUAUUUAAUCUUGAUAAUUUUAUUUCUUCUAUUUAGUAGAACUUUUAUUUUUUCUUAUUUAGUUUAGGCUUAUUAAUAUAAAUAGGAUUGAUUAACUUUUAUUUCAAUAGAUCACUUGAAGAUAAAUAUAAUCCUAAAUAAAAUCUUGAAUUAGUGGUUUUGUGUGAUGAUUUUAUUUGAUAGAAUUUUAUGUCAUUUGUGCUUAAUAUCUUUCUUAAUUCGUUUUUCUAUUUACCUCAAUUGGUAUCAUGCACAGUUUAAUGAUUCUUGAUUAUUAAUAUUGUGUAAUGACAUAAUCAUGGUUAGAAGAUGAUGUAACAUGUGAUGUAAUUUUGUAGCGGGAGAUGAGGAUGUUCCUCCUGAAAAAAUAGACGAUAAAAGACAUGCAUAAAUAGAUUGUAAAAUUAACUAGUCAAUUGAUAGAGAUAAGCAACUUGAAGGAUCAUGUUUAUAGCCAGAUUGAAGAAUCCGUUUCAAAGGUGUGAGCAGAUGAGGUAACCUUUUAACAGAGAUGGAUAUGUUACUAAAAUUGAUAUUUUUGAUGAUUUUAGUUUUUUUGUUAUUGAAAUUAAUCAUCGAUAUUUAUUUUGAGGAUAAUUAUGUAUGAUAUUUAUUUUAAGGAUGAUUAUGAUGUUAAUCAUGACAUAAACAAUGACAGUAAUGUAAGCAAUGAUGUCAUCGAUGUUUUUUUCAUUGACAGAUAGAGGUUAAGUGUAAAGAAAAUAUGAAUUGUAAUCAACAAAAAAAAGUUAUUGAUUUAGAUGAUAUCGAUCUUUUCCCUCCUUCACGGGUAUAGUAUCUAAUCCUCUCUCUCCUUUUUACUCCCGGUAUGGGCUGAGGAAUUGGAUUCUUUUCUUGUUACUGCAUGGCAUCUAUGUCCUUAUUUAAAUAAAUAAAAAAAUAGUUAUAUCUAAGUGGUCAAGGAAUCGAAGUUUAGCUAUGUCUAGAUGAAAUUGGAUAGAUAUCCUAUAUCUUAACUGAAAUUCCUUCUAGUUAAAAAAUCUAUUUUUAAUUACUCUAGAAUAAUUAGAAGAUAUGAUAGAUCAAACUAAGAUAUCUUGCCUGUCCCCAAAAAAGGACUCUCUCAUUCUCUUCGUAGCAAGAGUGGAAGUUAGACUCGUGAGGUCAGUGCCCAAGUCGCUAUACAGUUUAGGACUUACUAGUUACAUGCCCUGCGCGAUGUCGCGGGUCAAUUACUUUUUACAUUUUAAAAAUAACUAAGAUCUAAAAGUGUUAGGGUUUUUUGUAAAGUUAUACUCAAGAGUCUUAAUUUUGGUUGUAUUGCCUGAUCCAAGAGUAAUGUUUAUAAUAUUAAUAAUAACAUUAAACUUGGGUUAACCCUUCGCAUAAAAGUGUCUGGACUAUAAUACCAGAUCCAAUAGCAUUGGACGUGGGUCUGGCUGCAAGGUCGUGUCAUAAAAGUAUAAUAAUUAAAUAGAUUAGUUAAAAAAAAAAACCAACAUAAAGAAAAAAACUAAUGAGAAAAAAGAAAAAAAAAUAUGAAUUAAUUGGGUUAACCCUUCAAACCAGGUUAACCCGUCAUACCUUAAAUUCGCAUCAUGAAAGUUUGAUAAUUAAAAAAAUAAAUAAAUUAAUGGGUUAACCCAUAAUUAACUGGGCAAACUCGUCAAACCAGGUUACCCUGUCAAAUCCGGAAUUCGUGUAAUGAAAGUUUGAUAACUAAAUAAAUAAAAAAUUAACAUUAACAAUUUAAAUUAAACAAAAAAAAUUAAUUAAAAAAAUAAAAGGCAUCAGUCUUUUCACUGUAGACUGCACUGUGCAGUCCACAGUCAAAGGCAUAAAAACAACAACAACAAAAAAAACUAAAGGCAUCAGCCGAAAACUACUUAGAAAAAAAUUUAAUAUUAAUAAACUAAAUUAAUUAAAAAGAAAAAAAAGAAAAAAAAAACCUCUAAGAAGAAAAAAAAAUACUAAAUAGAAAGAAAUUUAACAUUAACAAACUAAACUAAACGAAAAAAAUAAUUAAAAAAGCAAAAAAAAGCAAAAAAAUAUUUCAGGUUAACUCGUCAAACUAAGUAAACCCAUUAAACCCGGGAUCCGUGUCAUGAAUGUCUGGUAACUAAAUAAAAAAAAAGUGAACAUUAACAAACUAAACUAAACAAAAAAAUAUUAAUUAAAAAGAAAAAAAUUUAUUUUUUAAAAAAAUUUGCAUCAUGAAAGUUUGAUAACUGCAUAGAAAAAACAAUUGACAGGUUAACCCAUAAUUAAUUUGGUUAACCUAUGAAACCAGGUUAACCCAUAAUUAAUUUAACAAAAUAAAUUAAACAAAAAAAUUAAUUAAAAAAACCAGAAAAAAAAUCUGGGUUAACCCGUUAAACCGGGAAUGCGUGUUAUAAAAGUUUGAGAUACAAAAAAAUUUAACAAAAAAGUUUUUUUAAAAAAAUAUCCAUUAAAAAAAAACAAAGAAAAAAAAAAGCAAAAAGUAAAAAAACAAAAAAAGACAACUCAGUUAAAAAAAAAAACAAAGAAAAAAUGAAAAAAAAAAAAAGGCAACUCAGGUUUUACUGUGGACUGCACUGUGUAAAAAAACUAAACUAAACUAAACAAAAAAAAUUAAUUAAAUAGAAAAAAAAAUAUAUUUUUUAAAAAUUCACGUCAUGAAAGUUUGUUAACUGCAUAGAAAAAAAAAUUAACGGGUUAACCCAUAAUUAAUUUGGUUAACCUAUGAAACCAGGUUAACCCAUAAUUAAUUUAACAAAAUAAAUUAAACAAAAAAAAAAUAAAAAAACCAGAAAAAAAAUCUGGGUUAAUCCGUUAAACCCAGAAUGCGUGUUAUAAAAGUUUGAGAUACAAAAAAAUUUAACAAAAAAGUUUUUUUAAAAAAAUAUCCAUUAAAAAAAAACAAAGAAAAAAAAAAGCAAAAAGUAAAAAAACAAAAAAAGACAACUCAGUUAAAAAAAAACAAAGAAAAAAAAACUUAAAAAAAAAGCAAAAAAAAAAAAAGGCAGCUCAGGUUUUACUGUGGACUGCACUGUGUAAAAAAACAAAACUAAAUAAAAAAAAUUAACGGGUUAACCCAUAAUUAAUUUGGUUAACCUAUGAAACCAGGUUAAUCCAUAAUUAAUUUAACAAAAUAAAUUAAACAAAAAAAAAAAUAAAAAAAACCAGAAAAAAAAUCUGGGUUAAUCCGUUAAACCCGGAAUGCGUGUUAUAAAAGUUUGAGAUACAAAAAAAUUUAACAAAAAAGUUUUUUUAAAAAAAUAUCCAUUAAAAAAAAACAAAGAAAAAAAAAGCAAAAAGUAAAAAAACAAAAAAAGACAACUCAGUUAAAAAAAAAACAAAGAAAAAAUGAAGAAAAAAAAACUUAAAAAAAAAAGAAAAAAAAAAAAGGCAGCUCAGGUUUUACUAUGGACUGCACUGUGUAAAAAAACUAAACUAAACAAAAAAAAUUAAUUAAAUAGAAAAAAAAUAUUUUUUAAAAAAAUUCACGUCAUGAAAGUUUGUUAACUGCAUAGAAAAAAAAAUUAACGGGUUAACCUAUAAUUAAUUUGGUUAACCUAUGAAACCAGGUUAACCCAUAAUUAAUUUAACAAAAAAAAUUAAACAAAAACAAAAUAAAAAAAACCAGAAAAAAAUCUUGGUUAAUCCGUUAAACCCGGAAUACGUGUUAUAAAAAUUUGAGAUACAAAAAAAUUUAACAUUAAAAUUUUUUUUAAAAAAAUUAUCCAUUAAAAAAAACAAAGAAAAAAUGAAGAAAAAAAACUUAAAAAAUAAAAGCAAAAAGCAAAAAAAAAAAAGAAAAAAAAAGAGCUCAAUUUUUACUGUGAACUGCGCAAUUAAGACUAGCCGUUUUAGUUAUAGUUUCAAUGUAAGAUAUAAGAUAAUCCAUCCUUUUAGGAUGGGCCGACGGUUCCGUACUCCUUUCACUCUUUUAGUUUAGGGCGGGGAGGCUAGCCAGCCUAUAUCUAGGUGAAAUUGGAUAGGUAUUUUAUAUUUAUUUUGAGGAUAAGUAUGUAUGAUAUUUAUUUUGAGGAUAAGUAUGAUGUUAAUCGUGACAUAAACAAUGACAAUAAUGUAAGCAAUGAUGUCAUUAAUGUUUUCUUCGUUGACAAGGUAGAGCUUAAGUGCAAAGAAAACAUGAAAUAUACAAUACAAAAAAAGAAGUUAUUGAUUUAGAUGAUAUCGAUCUUUUCCCUCCUUCACGGGUAUGGUAUCUAUUCCUCUCUCUCCUUUCUGACUCUCGGUGUGGGCUCAGGAAUUGGAUUCUUUUCUGGUUACUGCAUGGCAUCUAUAUCCUCAUUGUAAAUAAAAAAACAGUUCUAUCUAAGUGGCCAAGAAAUCAAAGUUUACCUAUGUCCAGGUGAAAUUGGAUAGGUAUUUUAUAUUUGAACUGAGUUCUUUCUUGUUAAAGAAUCUAUUUUUAAUUGCUCUAUAACAAUUAAGAGAUUUGCCGGACCAAACCAAGAUAUCCUGCCUAUUCCUGAAAAAAGGGACUCUCUCAUUCUCUUCGUAGCAAGAGUGGAAGUUCGACUCGUGAGGUCAGUGCCCAAGUCGCUAUAGAGUUUAGAACUUAUGUAGAUAUAAGAUAAUCCAUCCUUUUAGGAUAGGCUGACAGUUCCGUACUCCCUUCACUCUUUUAGUUUAGGGUGGGGAGGCUAGCCAGCUUCGGGAAAAGAAAGAACUGCUUAUGAUCUUUCUAUAUAGAGUCCCAGCCGCUCCUCCUUACACACAGGAAUCAGGUUCUGGGAUAAUUGAUCCGUAGAGUGCAGGAGCGAGAUUUUUUGGCCAGAUAAAAGUGGAUACGGCUGUUGUCAGACCGGCGACAAUCCAGUCCAAGAUGAAGAAGCGAAAGAGGGAACAUAAACUGUAACAAUUUGAAAGAGAAAAUAAAUGAUUAAGAGAGCUUUUCACGAAGAAGUUUUGCUGUAUUAUUCACAUUCAGCUUAAAACUUAAUAGUCAUGUACAGUAUUACUUAUAUACAAUUUUACUUAACAAACUAUUUUGUCUCUUAUGAUAAAGGAGUCCUUAACUAACAAAUCAAAACAGAGUUUAUUCAUAAUUAAUUAACAUGGAAUCCAUUCGGUUGCAGCACGUUUAUGUUGCUGGUAGUCAGUUGGUUUGUUGCUUGGUUUGCGCUGCACGUCAUACUGCAUGGCAUAUUGUUGGUGUUGUUUGUUGCUGCUGUUAAUCUGCUGGUGUGAUGCUGGCCAUGCUUGUUAUUUGUUGCGUUGGUUCCAGACGCAGUAGACCCUGCUGAUGUGGUCUCUAAUAUCCCCCCACAAGAUGGAGAAUAGAGAUUAACUAUUCCCAUAUUGGAAAGAUGUUGUUGUAGAACUGAAGAAGGAAGAGCUUUGGUAAAAAUGUCUGCGAGUUGUCGUUGGGAAGCAACAUGAGCAGUGGUGAUGAGACCAGCUUGUAUCUUGUCACGAAUAAGAUGGCAGUCCAGUUCAAUAUGCUUUGUCCGUUCGUGAAAGACUAGAUUGGCAGCAAUGUGAAGAGCCGCUUGGUUAUCACAGUAAAGCUGGGCAGCUUGGUGAUGAGAAAGAGAGAGAUCCUGAAGGAGAUAACAUAGCCAAGUUAAUUUUGAGCAAGUGGAAGCCAUAGAGCGGUAUUCUGCCUCAGCUGAUGAGCGGGAGACAACAGAUUGCUUCUUGGAUUUCCAAGAAAUGAGAGAGUCUCCUAGAAAUAUGCAAUAACCCGUGACUGAUCUUCUAGUGUCAGGGCAGGAAGCCCAAUCAGAGUCAUAGAAGGCUUGAAGCUGAAGCUGUGAGGAAGAAGGCAAGAAAAUACCUUGGCCAGGUGCAGUUUUAAUGUAUCGAAGAACACGAUGGGCUGUGGCAAGAUGGACGUUGGUAGGGGUGUCCAUAUAUUGGCUGAGGAUUUGGACAGGAUAACAAAUGUCGGGCCUAGUGAUGGUGAGGUAUAAAAGGCGUCCAAUGAGACGACGAUACGGGCUGGGAUCUGAUAAAGGAGUGCCAGAUGUUUUGGUGAGUUUAAAGUUCUGUUCGAGAGGCAACUUGAGGGGUUUGCUGGCUAAAGUUCCUGAAUCAGCCAAAAUAUCCAAGGCAUACUUCCUCUGACAUAAAUGAAUACCUCUGGAUGACCGAGCAACUUCUAAGCCAAGGAAGUAGCGUAAGCAGCCAAGGUCUUUGAUUUUAAACUGCUGAUGCAGGAAGGUUUUAAGGGAGGAGAUAGAGACCGAAUAAUUUCCAGCAACAAUGAUAUCAUCAACAUAAAUGAGUAGGGCAGUAAACGAAUUUUUAUCCACUUUAGUAAAUAGGCUAUAAUCAGCUUUGGAUUGUGUAAAACCAAAAGCAAUGAGAGAAAGAGAAAAUUUAGAAUACCACUGGCGUGAGGCUUGCUUGAGGCCAUAUAGACUUUUGAGAAGUUUGCAGACUUGAGUGGCCCCUCCAACAGAAUAACCAGGCGGUUUGCGCAUGUAUAUUUCUUCGUGUAAGUCACCAUGUAAAAAUGCGUUGUUGACAUCAAAUUGUAAGAGAAACCAUCCUUUGAUUGCUGCAAUGGAGAGUAAGACCCUGAUAGUAACAAGCUUGGCGACAGGGGAAAAAGUUUCUGUGUAAUCAAUACCUGCCUUCUGUGUGAAACCCUUGGCAACGAGUCUGGCUUUUAAUCUCUCAAUAGUGCCAUCAGCAUGGAAUUUAGUUUUGUAAACAUACUUGUAGUCAAUGGCUGAUUUGCCAGGAGGUAGGUCCGUGACAAUCCAGGUGUGAUUUUGUUCCAAGGCCAAUAAUUCAUCAUUCAUGGCUCUGCACCAGCCAGGAUGUUUGAUGGCUUGGUUGUAGGUGAUAGGAUCAACAUGAAUGGAGAUGGAACUAGAAAAUGCAGUGAAUGAUGGAGAACAUUGUUUAUAAGAAAUAAAGUUGGCCAAGGAGUAGAGAUUACCAGUGGCAGGAGGCUCAGACUUGGACAAUGAUUGAGAAGGUAUAAUAAGUGAGGACUGAUUGCAAUGAAAGUCAUGUAGAUAUUGUGGUGCUCGUCGGACCCUUGUAGUUCUGCGAGGGUUGCCAUCAGGCAGAACAGUAGGAGGACAUGAGGGAGAAGGAAAUGAGGGGUCUGAGGUGGAAAUGAUAGAAUCAUUUAUAUCUUGUGAGUUUGUGUGGGGGAGUGACAUAGGUACAUUAUUUGGUGUGGGAGGAGGAAUGACAGGAAAAUCUAAAGUGUCAGGUAAGGGCUUAGUAAAAACACAGGUUGUGCUGUCAGAUGUAGGAUUGGAGAGGUGAGGUAAAGAUUGGAAAGGAAAAAUUGAUUCAUGGAAGAUGACGUCCCUAGAUAUAAAAGUGGUAUGUGUUUGGAGAUCAAGUAAUUUGUAACCUUUGAUGCCAAAAGGAUAGCCAAGAAAAACAGAAAUGCGACCACGAGAAUCAAAUUUAGUUCUCUGGCGGGAGAGGGUGGAAGCAAAACAAAGAGAACCGAAUACUCUUAAGUGUGUAUAGGAGGGUGAUUUGUGGAAUAGGAGUUCAAAUGGUGUUUUGUUUUUAAGCAAAGGGCUAGGUGUGCGAUUAAUGAGGUAUGUGGCAGUCAAGACACAGUCGCUCCAGUAUUGAAGAGGGAGAUUGGCUUGAAAUCUUAAAGCUCGGGCAACAUUAAGGAGGUGCUGGUGUUUUCGUUCUACAAGUCCAUUCUGCUGAGGAGUUUCAACACAACUAGUUUGGUGAAUGAUGCCUUUGGUAUGGAAGAACUCUUUCAUGUGAAAUUCCCCCCCAUUAUCACUACGCAGAAUUUUAAUCUUGUGAUUGAAUUGGUUUUCAACCAAGUUGGCAAAAGACUCUAUGUUAUGUCUAGUGUCAGCUUUAGUGGGAAGGAGAUAAAGCCAUGUGCUGCGAGUGAAGCAAUCAACCAAGGUGAGGAAGUAUUUGAAACCAUCAUAUGAAGGCAUGGAGCAAGGUCCCCAAAGAUCGCAAUGCACAAUUUCAAAAGGAUGAGAAAGACUGCGUGCUAUAGGAAAAGGGUAAACGAUGAAAUUUUGCUAAGGGACAAACAUAGCAAGGUUGUUGACUGUUAUUGGAAAUGUUGUUCUUGACUACAGGAUCUAGAAUUAAAGACAUAACAGGAGAUGAUGGAUGUCCUAGACGACAGUGCCAUAAAUUGGCAGUAGUAUGGUGAUGUGAAACAGAAGCUGCAACAGAUUCUUUAGAAAAAUGAGAUAAUGUGGUGGCCAGGAGAGAAGGGGAGACGUUGGUGUUGACAAAAUGAUAGAGUCCAUUCCUCACUUCACCCUUCCCAAUCGUUGUCCAAGAGAAAAGGUCCUGAAUAACACAGAGAUUAGAGAGAAAUAUGAUGGAACAGGUAAGAGUAGUGGUAAGCCUUUUGACAGAGAUCAAAUUAAAAUUAAAAGAAGGAACACACAAAACUUGUGUGAGGCAAAUAGAGGGAGUUAAUUGGAUGGUGCCAAUGUGUGUAGCAGGAACAUGUGUUCCAUUUGGCAAAGCAACAGGAUGUGAGAUAGUAGAAAUAAUUGUAGUAAAAAGGAGGGGCAGCAGACCAUAUGGUCUGUUGCACCUGUGUCAAUGAUCCAAGGGAGAGGAUGAGAUGAAGAUGUAGUGUGCGUGUGAGCAUUUAAACAGUGUGAUAUACCAGAGAUAUGAGGAGUGGGAGGUGCAUGGAGGUGUGAUGAGGUCUGAGCAGUGGUAGAUGCACCUGGUGGAAGCAAAGCCAUGAGUUGAUUGUAUUGAUCCUUAGUUAAACCAAUACGAGUGUCACUGAUGUCUGUAAUAUUGGCAGCAGGAGUGAAUUGUGCUGCAAGAAUAUGGGAACUUCUGGAUUUGUUGAAGAAUUUGUGGCCAGGAGGGUAGCCAUUCAACUUGUAACAUUUGUCGAUUGUAUGACCAGUGAAGUUGCAAUGAGAACAUACAGGGGUCUCAGCAUUGCCAACUUUGAAGCAAGUUUCAAGUGUGUGUCUUGUAAUUUUGCAGUGAGUGCAGUAGGUUCUGUCCUUUUUGUAUUUAGAAUGGGAUGGAAACUUGGUAGGGAAGGAGGAGGGUUUUCUAAUGGCAAAGGCCAUAGCAUCAUGUUGUGUGGAGCUAGAGGUAAGUUGGUGCUGGCGUUCUUGCUGUUGAAUGAUAGAAAAAACUCGAGUAAUGGUGGGGAUGGGAUCGAGCAACAUGAUUUGAUCCCGUAUGGGAGAAUAAGUGUCGUUUAAACCCAUCAGAAAUUGGAAAACACAGUCACGUUGAUAGCGUUCAGAUAUAGUCUUCAUGGUACCACAACUGCAAGAUGGUAUGGGAUCAUAAAUCAAUGUUUCAUCCCAAAGAGUUUUGAGCUUGCCAUAGUAAACACUCACAGGAUCAGUAUCUUGUGAGAGGUUAGCUAAACUCUUUCGUAGCUGGUAAAUACGUGGACCAUUUUGAUGAGCAAAUCUGUCCUGUAGGUCAAGCCAAAUGUCUUGAGCACUGUCGACAAAUACUAUACUAGAUUUAAUAGAAUUGCUGAUAGAAUUCUGGAGCCAUGAAACCACCAUAUCAUUACAUCGCUCAAACAAAUCAAAAAGGGGAUCUUCUUGAUCAGUUGGCUGGAUGAUAGUUCCUGUGAUGAAUGCUAAUUUGUUCUUGGCACGAAGAGCUCUUCGCAUUGCACGAGACCAGGUUGCAUAGUUGUCGCCAGUGAGUAAGUCUGUGACCAGAAUUAUUGCUGGAUUGUCACUGGUAUCUAACCGAAAAGGGUUGCUGUGACUGUGAAGGUUCAAAUACUGAUCAGCAUUUGGUGUAUGGUUGGUGUUUGGGUUAUGUGGUGUGUUUGGGGAAGAUUGAUCUUCUAAUGAAGUAUUCAUGAAGAAAGCUCUCUAUAGCUUUGAUACCAUGUAACAAUUUGAAAGAGAAAAUAAAUGAUUAAGAGAGCUUUUCACGAAGAAGUUUUGUUGUAUUAUUCACAUUCAGCUUAAAACUUAAUAGUCAUGUACAGUAUUACUUAUAUACAAUUUUACUUAACAAACUAUUUUGUCUCUUAUGAUAAAGGAGUCCUUAACUAACAAAUCAAAACAGAGUUUAUUCAUAAUUAAUUAACAUGGAAUCCAUUCGGUUGCAGCACGUUUAUGCUGCUGGUAGUCAGUUGGUUUGUUGCUUGGUUUGCGCUGCACGUCAUACUGCAUGGCAUAUUGUUGGUGCUGUUUGUUGCUGCUGUUAAUCUGCUGGUGUGAUGCUGGCCAUGCUUGUUAUUUGUUGCGUUGGUUCCAGACGCAGUAGACCCUGCUGAUGUGGUCUCUAAUAUAAACUAGUCAGAAAAAGCAAAAUGAAGAUAAAAAGAAUCGAAGAUUGAAGAGAUUAGUUGACAACAGUCAAAAGAUGCAGGGGCCACAGGAAUAGAAAACUCAGAAGACCUAAACAUCAUCACACUCUGCUGCAGAAAAGAAAGGGUGAGCGCGUUUGGAUCCGCGAAGGCAAUCGCUCGGAG